GGCGGUGUCAACGAGUCAGACCUUCUGGCCCGAAAGGGUUGGGUAAACUGGUCAAUCACCGUCAUGACAGGGAUCGGGGCUUGGAAUUAUUCUCCGUGAACGAGGAAUUCCUAGUAAGUGCAAGUCAUAAGCUUGCGCUGAUUACGUCCCUGCCCUUUGUACACACCGCCCGUCGCUACUACCGAUUGAAUGGUUUAGUAAGGUCCUUGGAUUGGCGCCAUUGUGGUGGUCACCGAAAGGUGCUCAUCCGACAGGUGCUGAGAAGACGACCAAAC
rnacentral:rRNA from 1 species